UUGGGGGGUGGAGGGAAACUAAGGGGCGUUCUCCUCGUCUGAGAAGGCUGCUUUGGAGGGACUCAAGGACGCCCCCAGCGCAGUAGCUCAAACUGCAGUGCUCUGCCCUGCAAAGCCCGGAGCCUGAGCGGCAUCUCAGAGCUGGUGCCCUCGUUCCUGCCAUUCUGUUCGAGUCACCACACCGGCUCACCACAGGGCAGCAGAGGAAUCCCAGCACCCCAGCCCCCGGGAAGCCAGAGAAGAAAUGUGCUGAGUUUCUGCACCGGGAGAAGAGUUCUGGAUGUUCGAGCGCAUGUUUGGAGUCAUUGGGUUGAGCGCGUGUGCGUUUCCGGCCACAGUCUCGUCUUUGGGAAGUGAAGACAGUCGGUGCGGUUCUGUUUUCAAGAUGAAGCCUUGAACUCAAAGUGGAAAAUGAGUGGCAGUGUUAACGUCCGCAGGGAGGUUAGAUAGGAAAGGGCCCUCCUGGCAACUGGAGUUAUUCCUGGGAAGUAAGAUAAUGAGUUCCUGGGAAGUAAUAAAACCAAUACCCCUGAGGGACCUAAGGCCUGAGAAGGCCUCAGCUGGGGCCAACAGAUGCAGGGAAGGCUGGACUUCCACCCUGAGAGAAGCUCCUGCAAGAACAAAGGCCAGGAAAGGAAUUUCAAAGAGGACCAUUGACCGCUCCCAACUCUACCCCUUUGGCAAUCAUCCUAGCAAGGAACUCUUAUCUAGCUAGAAAGCCCCACCAAACUAGAAAGCCUCACUUGGGAUAGCUAGGGAAAAACCCUGUAAAAGCCACCUUGAACAAAGGAAGGGCGCGCAUAUUCUGCUGGAGCCCAUGUGCUGUUUGUGCCCACAUGGCUGAGCACAUGUGUCGCCUGAGCACUUGUGUCGCCCGCAUCUCCACUCUUGAGAUGUGUACUGGGGCCUCUCUCCAUCUUUGAAGAAGUCUGCGUGCUCCCUGGAGCGUGUUUCUCUCUCUCUCUCUCUCUCUCUCUCUCUCUCUCUCUCUCUCUCUCUCUCGCUCUCGCUCUCGCUCUCGCUCUCUUCUUUUUUUUCGGCUUUUUGGGUCACACCCAGAGAUGCACAGGGGUUACUCCUGGCUCUGCACUCAGGAAUCACUCCUGGCAGUGCUCAGGGAACCAUCUGGGAUGCUGGGAAUCGAACCCGGGUCAGCUGCAUGCAAGACAAAUGCCCUACCCACUGUGCUCUCACUCCAGCAAUCCCCCUCCCCCGGCUCUGCUCUCCCUCCUUCCUAAAAGCCUGCAAAUAAAAUCUGUUUUUACUUCACUGCUUUUUUUA